rnacentral:piRNA from 1 species
UCAUGUGCUUUGAACUUUCCUCCAUU